rnacentral:lncRNA from 1 species
AUAAGGUUUUGAUAUCUGGAGCUCAUAGGUGGGAGACAGCUAAUACAUACUUACAAAACAUUUAUUGCAUAGUCAAACCAUGGAUCCAAAGAAACAAGUCAAUAAGUCAAAUCAAGAUGUGCAUGUGUGGCGAAUGAAUGGUGUAUGGUGAUGAUGGUGAUAACAAUGGUGAAAGUCUAAUUUUACUUGUGCUCUUUUGAGGGGAUACAUACCUUUCUUGCUCUUUUGAAACUUUUUUAGGAGAAUGAGAUGCUCUAUAUUUUCUUUUACUUUUCUCUCAGGUGGGUAUCUUGUACCCCAAAUUCUACUGUCGGACACUUGUCCAUUUUUACCUCUCAUCUCACUUUUUCUUUUCUUUCGAGGUUCCGGGCACUUGCCCCUUUUUAUUUCCUCGUAUCUUCUUUUUUUUAGAGCACUCAUUUCCUGAAAUAAUAUAGCAAGUGGUAGUAACCAAGAUAACUUGAGCAUUUAUUUCACAAGGGAAAACAGUAAUGUUUUUGGCUAUUCUCUCCCGAAUUAGGAGUAGAAUAUUUUUGGGUGGUUCUGGAGAUGGAAAUGGGUGGAUAUAUGUGGAUGCAUACUACUGGAGUAGAAGCAGCAUGUGUGAGUGAACGUGCAAGUGAAUCUUGAUUUUAACCGCAUGACAAGCUCCUAAGGGUCUACACAGCUUGA